UACGUAGGGUGCAAGCGUUAAUCGGAAUUACUGGGCGUAAAGCGUGCGCAGGCGGUUGUGCAAGACAGAUGUGAAAUCCCCGGGCUCAACCUGGGAACUGCAUUUGUGACUGCACGGCUAGAGUGUGUCCGAGGGGGGUAGAAUUCCACGUGUAGCAGUGAAAUGCGUAGAUAUGUGGAGGAAUACCGAUGGCGAAGGCAGCCCCCUGGGAUAACACUGACGCUCAUGCACGAAAGCGUGGGGAGCAAACAGG
rnacentral:rRNA from 1 species